rnacentral:rRNA from 1 species
UACGUAGGGUGCAAGCGUUGUCCGGAAUUAUUGGGCGUAAAGAGCUCGUAGGCGGUCUGUCGCGUCUGCUGUGAAAACUCAGGGCUUAACCCUGAGCUUGCAGUGGGUACGGGCAGACUAGAGUGCGGUAGGGGAGACUGGAAUUCCUGGUGUAGCGGUGAAAUGCGCAGAUAUCAGGAGGGAACACCGGUGGCGAAGGCGGGGUCUCUGGGCCGUAACUGACG